rnacentral:rRNA from 1 species
UACGGGGGGGGCAAGCGUUGUUCGGAAUUACUGGGCGUAAAGGGCUCGUAGGCGGCCAACUAAGUCGGACGUGAAAUUCCCAGGCUCAACCUGGGAACUGCGUCCGAUACUGGAUGGCUUGAAUCCGGGAGAGGGAUGCAGAAUUCCAGGUGUAGCGGUGAAAUGCGUAGAUAUCUGGAGGAAUACCGGUGGCGAAGGCGGCAUCCUGGACCGGCAUUGACGCUGAGGAGCGAAAGCCAGGGGAGCAAACGGG